GGGCAGGGUGGGGCCGUGCAGCCCCACUGUGACAUGGGCUGAAGUCACAGUGGGGCACCGCACCCCACCCUGAUCCCUGCCCUGUCCACAGCUCCCAGCUCACACUUCCCCCAGAGGCGGAGGUGAACCCAGACGCGAGUUGCUGCUCUCGCCAGCGCUCUUCUCUCGGCAGCUGCUCUGCAGCAAAGAGGCGAAGGCAAAGGCAGGCAGUGCGAUAGUGCUGGGUCUGUUUGGAGACGUGCAGGAGCUUGGAGGAGUGCAGGAGCUUGGUGAUCACAAGCCCGACGCUCUUCAUCUAAGCCCACAAAGGGCCAACUGUUGGCAAAAUGCCUCAGAAGAGGAUCUUUUUGUCCCCAAGUUUUUUGCCCAAGGAUGAGGUGCCGGAAUUUCUACUGGCGGAUCUCGCUGAACAACAAGAGGCUCAAGAACGCCAGUUCCUUCGUGGCCACUUUCCACCCCUGCGGACGAGUGACCUCGACCUGCUGGCAGAAGAGGAGACUGCAGAGGUGUCUGUAAGGCCAGGCAGCAGUUCAGAGCACCCCAAGUCCAGCAGCGCUUCCCCCCACUGAAGAACACCCCCAGAAGGGGGAGAAAGCGCAGCCAGGAAAAAUCUCCAGCAAGGAGACAAGCAAAGAGAUUGCUUCCCGCCUUCCUCGAGCAGAGAAUGGGAGGACAAUGGCCCCACCAGCAGAGAUAGCAGUGCCCACUGUCCAGUCACUACGGGCAAGACAGGUCCUGGGAACCUUGGAGUCCUACAAGGUGUGCCGGGAAGGAUGGAGGAAGAAGGUGGAGGAAAACAGGCUCCUUCCUGCCAGACCCAAGGAGCGCCUCUGCUUUGUGAAGAAGAUGGAGCUCCAGGAGGCCAGAGGAAAACACAAGAACAUGUGAGAGCACACCACGGGCUCACAGUUCAGCCAAUUCCUACCGCGCCCACUCACACCGUGGCAAUAAACAACGAAGCCCCAGGAUUGACAGCAGUGGGGCUGAGAGGAGGCACACUGAUACAGGAGCUGCCUCCCUUGUUACCACCAUUGUCUCUGCUGUAACAGCAAAGCAGAGCCAUUCUUAG
ensembl:lncRNA